UCGAUCAACGGAUCACUAUCAAUGUCGAUCGACGGCGAGCCAUCCGCCAAGUUUAACAACGAUUUAAGGAAAGUACGAUUUUUACCCAGAAAUUCCAAGAUAUUGCACUUUGAGUCCCUUGCCGCCUGUUAGGCUAUUUAUUAGGGUUUUUCAUGUUUUACCUAGACACAGACCUUUAGAGACACAUUUUGGAGAGGCAGACAUUUCUACAUUAGGAAGAGAGCUUAGGAUUGGAGAUAGAGAUCUAAACUUCAUAAACAGAAAAGAUCUUAAACUCCUUUGUUCUAUUAGUCUACUUUGUUUGCUUUUCAUAUUUGAAUUAUUGAGUAUUAAUCAUACC
rnacentral:lncRNA from 1 species